rnacentral:ncRNA from 1 species
GAAUGCCGGUAUGAGUAGCGAAAGAGGGGUGAGAAUCCCCUCCACCGAAUGCCUAAGGUUUCCUGAGGAAGGCUCGUCCGCUCAGGGUUAGUCGGGACCUAAGCCGAGGCCGAAAGGCGUAGGCGAUGGCCAACAGGUUGAAAUUCCUGUACCACCUCCUCACCGUUUGAGCAAUGGGGGGACGCAGAAGGAUAGGGUAAGCGCGCUGUUGGAUUAGCGCGUCCAAGCAGUUAGGCUGACAACGAGGUAAAUCCCGUUGUCACAAAAGCUGAGCUGUGACGGCGAGGAAACUAUAGUACCGAAGUUCCUGAUUCCACACUGCCAAGAAAAGCCUCUAGCGAGGUGUGAGGUGCCCGUACCGCAAACCGACACAGGUAGGCGAGGAGAGAAUCCUAAGGUGAGCGAGAGAACUCUCGUUAAGGAACUCGGCAAAAUGACCCCGUAACUUCGGGAGAAG